GACGAACGCUGGCGGCGUGCUUAACACAUGCAAGUCGAACGGAAAGGCCCUGCUUUUGUGGGGUGCUCGAGUGGCGAACGGGUGAGUAACACGUGAGUAACCUGCCCUUGACUUGGGAUAACUUCAGGAAACUUGGGCUAAUACCGGAUAUGAACUCCUGCUGCCUGGUGGGGGUUGGGAAGUUUCGGCGGUUGGGGAUGGACUCGCGGCUUAUCAGCUUGUUGGUGGGGUAGUGGCUUACCAAGGCUUUGACGGGUAGCCGGCCUGAGAGGGUGACCGGCCACAUUGGGACUGAGAUACGGCCCAGACUCCUACGGGAGGCAGCAGUGGGGAAUAUUGCACAAUGGGCGGAAGCCUGAUGCAGCAACGCCGCGUGCGGGAUGACGGCCUUCGGGUUGUAAACCGCUUUCGCCUGUGACGAAGCGUGAGUGACGGUAAUGGGUAAAGAAGCACCGGCUAACUACGUG
rnacentral:rRNA from 1 species